rnacentral:rRNA from 1 species
AUUGAACGCUGGCGGCAGGCUUAACACAUGCAAGUCGAGCGAGCGGCGGACGGGUGAGUAAUGUAUGGGAAACUGACUGAUGGAGGGGGAUAAAUACUGGAAACGGUAGAUAAUACCGAAUACCAUCCGCUGUGCCCAGAUGGGAUUCGCUAGUAGGUAGGGUAAUGGCUCACCUAGGCGACGAUCCCUAGCUGGUCUGAGAGGAUGACCAGCCAAACUGGAACGUAGAGACGGUCCAUACUCCGACGGGAGGAAGCAGUGGGGACUAUUGCACAAGGGGCGCAAGCCUGAUGCAGCCAUGCCGCGUGUGUGAAGAAGGCCUUCGGGUUGUAAAGCACUUUCAGUGAGGAGGCGUUACUCGCAGAAGAAGCACCGGCUAACUCCGUGCCAGCCGCCGCGGUAAGAC